rnacentral:lncRNA from 1 species
AUAAACCCAUACCAACUCAUUUAUCAUGGGACCUGUACCUGACAUGCUAUUAGGCUUCACUUGUUAGUUAUGUAUCUUAUAACUGAAAUGAGAUGGGGUCAAGAAGAGGUAUCUAGGGUGUGGCAUUGAGAGUGAGGAGAGGAAAUUAAGGUGUUGAAGAAAAUGUGAUAAAUCUUGAACAUGCUGUCUACUCCACUUUCUCUUCAGUAUUUUUUGUUUCCUCUCUUAACUAUGAACAUCCGCAGCUGGGUUUCAAGGGCUUGCUCAACCUCUGUUAACCUGUUGGAUCUGAGGCUGAAAACCAAACCUGUUUAUUUUGGGCAAGUUGGGGCAGGUGUUGGUUGGUCUUCAUCAGAAACUGCCACACCUAUGAAGAGUAAAUGGAAAACAAUGUCGAAUAAGAAACCAAACCUUCUGUUAUCUAAGACCAAUAUAUAAUGGUGCCCUUUUUACACUAGUUUGCAAUUUUUCUACUAGUUUGCUUCAUAUGUAAAUGGCCUUCAGAUUUGCUUCUUUAGAACAUUACAAGCUCAUGGCUUUGUGCUUCUUUUCAAAAGUUGAUUGUUAUUUUCAUGUCUUGUCCAGCUUCAUCUUAGCUAUUGUUUACUUUUAGUUGCAUAGAAACACAAUCUUCUUA